CGGCGGACGGGUGAGUAACGCGUGGGUAACCUGCCUCAUACGGGGGGAUAACAGUUAGAAAUGACUGCUAAUACCGCAUAAGCGCACAGGACCGCAUGGUCAAGUGUGAAAAACUCCGGUGGUAUGAGAUGGACCCGCGUCUGAUUAGUUAGUUGGUGGGGUAACGGCCCACCAAGGCGACGAUCAGUAGCCGGCCUGAGAGGGUGAACGGCCACAUUGGGACUGAGACACGGCCCAAACUCCUACGGAAGGCAGCAG
rnacentral:rRNA from 1 species